rnacentral:rRNA from 1 species
UACACGAAGCUGGAAUCGCUAGUAAUCGCGGAUCAGCAUGCCGCGGUGAAUACGUUCCCGGGCCUUGUACACACCGCCCGUCACACCAUGGGAGCCGGUAAUACCCGAAGUCAGUAGUCCAACCACGUGAGGACGCUGCCGAAGGUAGGAUUGGCGACUGGGGUGAAGUCGUAACAAGGUAGC